GCAGUGCACAUCGCCUUUUCUGUGGCUGAGGUGCAUUGUAGUUGCAUUGCAUGUGCACAAAGGAAGUGCAAUGUAACAGCAGUGCAGCUCAGACAUGGUUGCAAUGCAAGGACAAUGCA
rnacentral:pre_miRNA from 16 species